rnacentral:rRNA from 1 species
UACAGAGGGGGCAAGCGUUGUUCGGAAUUACUGGGCGUAAAGGGCGCGUAGGCGGCCUGCUAAGUCGAACGUGAAAUCCCCGGGCUCAACCCGGGAACUGCGUCCGAUACUGGCAGGCUUGAAUCCGGGAGAGGGAUGUGGAAUUCCAGGUGUAGCGGUGAAAUGCGUAGAUAUCUGGAGGAACACCGGUGGCGAAGGCGGCCCACUGGUCCGGUACUGACGCUGAGGUGCGAAAGCGUGGGGAGCAAACAGG